rnacentral:rRNA from 1 species
GACAGAGGGUGCAAACGUUGUUCGGAAUUACUGGGCGUAAAGCGCGUGUAGGCGGCUAAGUAAGUCGGGCGUGAAAUCCCACGGCUCAACCGUGGAAGUGCACUCGAAACUGCAUAGCUAGAGUCCUGGAGAGGAAGGUGGAAUGCUUGGUGUAGAGGUGAAACUCGUAGAUAUCAAGCGGAACACCGGUGGCGAAGGCGGCCUUCUGGACAGUGACUGACGCUGAGACGCGAAAGCGUGGGGAGCAAACAGG